ACACAACAUACUAAAACCAGCCAGCAUAGGGGUUAGUUCUGUGCUCUCCAUGCUUAUAUACAUUCAUUACUUUACACUGACUGGAGUUUCUUCUGCUUUCCAUUCAUUCCAUUCACACAGAACCGGGUCAUUAAUCCCCACAUCCUCCACAUGUUUGAACAACAUCUUUAAAAGAUCAUCUCAGCAGUGUGCAUCAUGCCAGAUGUGAUCCCAGGUCUUACAGGAGGCAUCAAGACGCUGCUCGAUGUUCGACCCUCAGGUUCUCCUGUCACCUGUCUGGCCAGAAUGAUGGAAGAUGCCCACUGCCCAGUUUAUGCCAG
rnacentral:lncRNA from 1 species